AUGUUCGUAUUCAGAGUUAUCUCAUUCUUCAACCUUCUUCUGCGCUGCGACCGACACCUCCAAUACUUUGCCAUUCUAUCUUCUUCACAUAUCAAACCCCAACCUCCUGCAUCUUCAUCUCGUUUGCUUCACCGAUUCAAACUUCAAACUUUUUUCAAUCUCAAUUUGUCUUCGCUUGCCAGCAACACCACGAAAUAUCAAUGCUUAUCUACCGGAGACGAGUAUGGUGCUCCUUUUACAGCGGCAACGAGAAAGCAGAAAAUCAGAGAUCUGGAAGAUAAUCUAGAUUUGAUGUAG